GGGUUGUGAGGUUAAGCGACUAAGCGUACACGGUGGAUGCCCUGGCAGUCAGAGGCGAUGAAGGACGUGCUAAUCUGCGAAAAGCGUCGGUAAGGUGAUAUGAACCGUUACAGCCGGCGAUGUCCGAAUGGGGAAACCCAGUGCAAUUCGUUGCACUAUCGUUAACUGAAUACAUAGGUUAACGAGGCGAACCGGGGGAACUGAAACAUCUAAGUACCCCGAGGAAAAGAAAUCAACCGAGAUUCCCCCAGUAGCGGCGAGCGAACGGGGAGCAGCCCAGAGUCUGAAUCAGCUUGUGUGUUAGUGGAACGGUCUGGAAAGUCCGACGGUACAGGGUGAUAGUCCCGUACACCAAAAUGCACAGGCUGUGAACUCGAAGAGUAGGGCGGGACACGUGGUAUCCUGUCUGAAUAUGGGGGGACCAUCCUCCAAGGCUAAAUACUCCUGACUGACCGAUAGUGAACCAGUACCGUGAGGGAAAGGCGAAAAGAACCCCGGCGAGGGGAGUGAAAAAGAACCUGAAACCGUGUACGUACAAGCAGUGGGAGCACCUUCGGGUGUGACUGCGUACCUUUUGUAUAAUGGGUCAGCGACUUAUAUUCUGUAGCAAGGUUAACCGUAUAGGGGAGCCGCAGGGAAACCGAGUCUUAACUGGGCGUUAAGUUGCAGGGUAUAGACCCGAAACCCGGUGAUCUAGCCAUGGGCAGGUUGAAGGUUGGGUAACACUAACUGGAGGACCGAACCGACUAAUGUUGAAAAAUUAGCGGAUGACUUGUGGCUGGGGGUGAAAGGCCAAUCAAACCGGGAGAUAGCUGGUUCUCCCCGAAAGCUAUUUAGGUAGCGCCUCGUGAACUCAUCUUCGGGGGUAGAGCACUGUUUCGGCUAGGGGGUCAUCCCGACUUACCAACCCGAUGCAAACUACGAAUACCGAAGAAUGUUAUCACGGGAGACACACGGCGGGUGCUAACGUCCGUCGUGAAGAGGGAAACAACCCAGACCGCCAGCUAAGGUCCCAAAGUCACAGUUAAGUGGGAAACGAUGUGGGAAGGCACAGACAGCCAGGAUGUUGGCUUAGAAGCAGCCAUCAUUUAAAGAAAGCGUAAUAGCUCACUGGUCGAGUCGGCCUGCGCGGAAGAUGUAACGGGGCUAAACUGUGCACCGAAGCUGCGGCAGCGACACUAUGUGUUGUUGGGUAGGGGAGCGUUCUGUAAGCCUGCGAAGGUGGCCUGUGAGGGUUGCUGGAGGUAUCAGAAGUGCGAAUGCUGACAUAAGUAACGAUAAUGCGGGUGAAAAGCCCGCACGCCGGAAGACCAAGGGUUCCUGUCCAACGUUAAUCGGGGCAGGGUGAGUCGACCCCUAAGGCGAGGCCGAAAGGCGUAGUCGAUGGGAAACAGGUUAAUAUUCCUGUACUUGGUGUUACUGCGAAGGGGGGACGGAGAAGGCUAUGUUAGCCGGGCGACGGUUGUCCCGGUUUAAGCAUGUAGGCGGAGGUUCCAGGUAAAUCCGGUACCUUAUUAACGCUGAGGUGUGAUGACGAGGCACUACGGUGCUGAAGUAACAAAUGCCCUGCUUCCAGGAAAAGCCUCUAAGCAUCAGGUAACAUUAAAUCGUACCCCAAACCGACACAGGUGGUCAGGUAGAGAAUACCAAGGCGCUUGAGAGAACUCGGGUGAAGGAACUAGGCAAAAUGGUGCCGUAACUUCGGGAGAAGGCACGCUGAUAUGUAGGUGAAGUCCCUGCGGAUGGAGCUGAAAUCAGUCGAAGAUACCAGCUGGCUGCAACUGUUUAUUAAAAACACAGCACUGUGCAAACACGAAAGUGGACGUAUACGGUGUGACGCCUGCCCGGUGCCGGAAGGUUAAUUGAUGGGGUUAUCCGUAAGGAGAAGCUCUUGAUCGAAGCCCCGGUAAACGGCGGCCGUAACUAUAACGGUCCUAAGGUAGCGAAAUUCCUUGUCGGGUAAGUUCCGACCUGCACGAAUGGCGUAAUGAUGGCCAGGCUGUCUCCACCCGAGACUCAGUGAAAUUGAACUCGCUGUGAAGAUGCAGUGUACCCGCGGCAAGACGGAAAGACCCCGUGAACCUUUACUAUAGCUUGACACUGAACAUUGAGCCUUGAUGUGUAGGAUAGGUGGGAGGCUUUGAAGCGUGGACGCCAGUCUGCGUGGAGCCAACCUUGAAAUACCACCCUUUAAUGUUUGAUGUUCUAACGUUGGCCCCUAAUCGGGGUUGCGGACAGUGUCUGGUGGGUAGUUUGACUGGGGCGGUCUCCUCCCAAAGAGUAACGGAGGAGCACGAAGGUUAGCUAAUCCUGGUCGGACAUCAGGAGGUUAGUGCAAUGGCAUAAGCUAGCUUGACUGCGAGCGUGACGGCGCGAGCAGGUGCGAAAGCAGGUCAUAGUGAUCCGGUGGUUCUGAAUGGAAGGGCCAUCGCUCAACGGAUAAAAGGUACUCCGGGGAUAACAGGCUGAUACCGCCCAAGAGUUCAUAUCGACGGCGGUGUUUGGCACCUCGAUGUCGGCUCAUCACAUCCUGGGGCUGAAGUAGGUCCCAAGGGUAUGGCUGUUCGCCAUUUAAAGUGGUACGCGAGCUGGGUUUAGAACGUCGUGAGACAGUUCGGUCCCUAUCUGCCGUGGGCGCUGGAGAAUUGAGGGGGGCUGCUCCUAGUACGAGAGGACCGGAGUGGACGCAUCACUGGUGUUCGGGUUGUCAUGCCAAUGGCAUUGCCCGGUAGCUAAAUGCGGAAGAGAUAAGUGCUGAAAGCAUCUAAGCACGAAACUUGCCCCGAGAUGAGUUCUCCCUGAGACUUUAAGUCUCCUGAAGGAACGUUAAAGACGAUGACGUUGAUAGGUCGGGUGUGUAAGCGUAGCGAUACGUUGAGCUAACCGAUACUAAUGAACCGUGAGGCUUAACCUUACAACGCCGAAGGUGUUU
rnacentral:rRNA from 1 species